GAACAGCGGUGAUGAUGAUGACCUAUUGUCACUUCCCUGAAUCACAAAUGUGGGUUUUAAGUCACUACCUCAUCUGAGCUGUUC
ensembl:snoRNA